rnacentral:rRNA from 1 species
GACGAACGCUGGCGGCGUGCUUAACACAUGCAAGUCGAACGGAAAGGCCCUUCGGGGUACUCGAGUGGCGAACGGGUGAGUAACACGUGGGUGAUCUGCCCUGCAAUUUGGGAUAAGCCUGGGAAACUGGGUCUAAUACCGAAUAUGAUCAUCGGCUUCAUGGUCGGCGGUGGGAAGCUUUUGCGGUGUGGGAUGGGCCCGCGGCCUAUCAGCUUGUUGGUGGGGUAAUGGCCUACCAAGGCGACGACGGGUAGCCGGCCUGAGAGGGUGACCGGCCACACUGGGACUGAGAUACGGCCCAGACUCCUACGGGAGGCAGCAGUGGGGAAUAUUGCACAAUGGGCGCAAGCCUGAUGCAGCGACGCCGCGUGAGGGAUGACGGCCUUCGGGUUGUAAACCUCUUUCAGCACAGACGAAGCGCAAGUGACGGUAUGUGCAGAAGAAGGACCGGCCAACUACGUGCCAGCCGCCGCCGUAAGAC